AUUGAACGCUGGCGGCAGGCCUAACACAUGCAAGUCGAACGAGUGGCGGACGGGUGAGUAAUGUCUGGGAAACUGCCCGAUGGAGGGGGAUAACUACUGGAAACGGUAGCUAAUACCGCAUACCAUCGGAUGUGCCCAGAUGGGAUUAGAUUGUAGGUGAGGUAACGGCUCACCUAGGCGACGAUCCCUAUAUGGACUGAGAGGAUGACCAGCCAGACUGGGACUGGGACAUGGUCCAGCCUCCUAAGAGAGGCAGCAGUGGGGAAUAUUGAACAAUGGUCGGAAGCCUGACGCAGCCACGCCGCGUGUAUGAUGAGGGCCUUCGGUUUGUAAAGUACUUUCAGCGGGGAGGCGUUACCCGCAGAAGAAGCACCGGCUAACUCCGUGCCAGCCGCCGCGGUAAUAC
rnacentral:rRNA from 1 species